CCCGCUGAACUUAAGCAUAUCAGUAAGCGGAGGAAAAGAAACCAACAGGGAUUCCCUUAGUAACGGCGAGUGAAGCGGGAACAGCUCAAUUUUAAAAUCUCUCGGUGCCCUCCAAGCGCCGAGCGAAUUGUGGUUUUGAGAAGCGUCUUCUGGGCGGGUCCGGCCGCAGGUGUAAGUUCUCUGAAAGGAGACGUCACAGAGGGUGAGAAUCCCGUCUUGUAACCUGCGAUGGGCUCGUUCAUUUUGAUACGUCUUCGUAGAGUCGGAUAGCUUGGGAAUGCUGUCCAAAGUGGGUGGUAAAUACCAUCUAAAGCUAAAUACUGGCGAGAGACCGAUAGCGAACAAGUACCGUGAGGGAAAGAUGAAAAGAACUUUGAAAAGAGAGUUAAAUAGUACGUGAAAUUGUCUAAAGGGAAACGCUUGAAACCAGUCUUGCAAGGUCAGAGAUCAGCCGUCCUUCAUUGGGCGGUGCACUCUCUGGUCGCGCGGGUCAGCAUCGGUUUGUUCUAGGGUAUAAUGCCAUUCGAGGCCGCUCGUCGGUCGAGUUUGGUGAUGCCCUGGGGCGGACCGUGGAUCGCAGCCACGCUGUUGGGGACACCGGUCGCCUCUUGAGAUUUGAGACUCAGAAUGCUUGCAGACUGACCUUGAUACCCUCUUGAGCACGGCCGGGAACCACACCUCAUGGCUUGGGACGCUGGCAUAAUGGUUUUAAACGACCCGUCUUGAAACACGG
rnacentral:rRNA from 1 species